AAUCUCAUUCUGUUUUCUAAUGGAACUAGUCUAAAAAGGUCCCCUCUCAUUGGGUAUAGACUGAAUCCUGCUAAAGGGUUAACCAGAACUUGUCACCAGCGAGACGACUGUGUGCAGGGCCAGCCUAGGCUGAGUGCAGCCUGCCUGUGAUGGGGAACAGGCUCUGCCAGGCAGGGUUCUUUGGCUGGAGUCUCAAAGCCUGGCGCUUGUAUCCUGAAGAUGAAUGGCCUGGCCCAGUCCCGACUAGAGACAUGCAUCUCUUAUCUCCACUGCUACAGCGCGGGAUUAAGGACACUGCAUGACAUUGGGCCAGAAAUCCGGCGUGCUAUAUCGUGUGAUUUGCAAGAUGACGAGCCUGAGGAAACAAAACGAGAAGAAGAAGAUGAUGUGUUCAAAAGAAAUGGUGCCCUGCUUGGAAACCAUGUCAAUCAUGUUAAUAGUGAUAGGAGAGAUUCCCUUCAGCAGACCAAUACCACCCACCGUCCCCUGCAUGUCCAAAGGCCUUCAAUUCCACCUGCAAGUGAUACUGAGAAACCGCUGUUUCCUCCAGCAGGAAAUUCGGUGUGUCAUAACCAUCAUAACCAUAAUUCCAUAGGAAAGCAAGUUCCCACCUCAACAAAUGCCAAUCUCAAUAAUGCCAAUAUGUCCAAAGCUGCCCAUGGAAAGCGGCCCAGCAUUGGGAACCUUGAGCAUGUGUCUGAAAAUGGGCAUCAUUCUUCCCACAAGCAUGACCGGGAGCCUCAGAGAAGGUCCAGUGUGAAAAGAACCCGCUAUUAUGAAACUUACAUUAGGUCCGACUCAGGAGAUGAACAGCUCCCAACUAUUUGCCGGGAAGACCCAGAGAUACAUGGCUAUUUCAGGGACCCCCACUGCUUGGGGGAGCAGGAGUAUUUCAGUAGUGAGGAAUGCUACGAGGACGACAGCUCGCCCACCUGGAGCAGGCAAAACUAUGGCUACUACAGCAGAUACCCAGGCAGAAACAUCGACUCUGAGAGGCCCCAAGGCUACCAUCACCCCCAAGGAUUCUUGGAGGACGAUGACUCGCCCGUUUGCUAUGAUUCACGGAGAUCUCCAAGGAGACGCCUACUACCUCCCACCCCAGCAUCCCACCGGAGAUCCUCCUUCAACUUUGAGUGCCUGCGCCGGCAGAGCAGCCAGGAAGAGGUCCCGUCGUCUCCCAUCUUCCCCCAUCGCACGGCCCUGCCUCUGCAUCUAAUGCAGCAACAGUCCCCUCUUUCCUCAGAUCAUGGCAGUUGCCGGCCUAGAUUCAAGUAAAGCCCAGAAGUACUCACCGAGUCACUCGACCCGGUCGUGGGCCACCCCUCCAGCAACCCCUCCCUACCGGGACUGGACACCGUGCUACACCCCCCUGAUCCAAGUGGAGCAGUCAGAGGCCCUGGACCAGGUGAACGGCAGCCUGCCGUCCCUGCACCGCAGCUCCUGGUACACAGACGAGCCCGACAUCUCCUACCGGACUUUCACACCAGCCAGCCUGACCAUCCCCAGCAGCUUCCGGAACAAAAACAGCGACAAGCAGAGGAGUGCGGACAGCUUGGUGGAGGCAGUCCUGAUAUCCGAAGGCUUGGGACGCUAUGCAAGGGACCCAAAAUUUGUGUCAGCAACAAAACACGAAAUCGCUGAUGCCUGUGACCUCACCAUCGACGAGAUGGAGAGCGCAGCCAGCACCUUGCUUAAUGGGAACGUGCAUCCCCGAGCCAACGGGGAUGUGGGCCCCCUCUCACACCGGCA
rnacentral:sRNA from 1 species